rnacentral:rRNA from 1 species
CCCUUAGAGUUUGAUCCUGGCUCAGAACGAACGCUGGCGGCGUGCCUAACACAUGCAAGUCGCACGAGAAGUCCCUUUCGGGGGAUUGUAAAGUGGCGCACGGGUGAAUAACACGUAAAUGAUCUACCCCAUAGAGGCGGACAACCAAGCGAAAGCUUGGCUAAUUCGCCAUACGCUUUUUGGGCUUUGGCCUAGAAAGGAAAGUGGCCCUCUGAUAAUAAGGUCGCGCUAAGGGAUGAGUUUGCGGCCCAUCAGCUAGUUGGUGAGGUAAAGGCUCACCAAGGCUUAGACGGGUAGCUGGUCUGAGAGGACGAUCAGCCACACUGGGACUGAAACACGGCCCAGACUCCUACGGGAGGCAGCAGUGGGGAAUAUUGGACAAUGGGGGAAACCCUGAUCCAGCGACGCCGCGUGGAGGAAGAAGGCCUUCGGGUUGUAAACUCCUGUCGAAAGGGGCGAAGGUCAUGCAGUGAAUAAUUGCAUGGCUUGACAGUACCUUUGGAGGAAGCACCGGCUAACUCCGUGCCAGCAGCCGCGGUAAUACGGAGGGUGCAAGCGUUGUUCGGAAUUAUUGGGCGUAAAGCGUGUCUCGGCGGGUAGAUAAGUCAGAUGUUAAAGAUCCCGGCUUAACUGGGAGAGUGCGUUUGAUACUAUUUAUCUUGAGUCAUAGAGGGAUGAGCGGAAUUCCUGGUGUAGCAGUGAAAUGCGUAGAGAUCAGGAGGAACACCGGUGGCGAAAGCGGCUCAUUGGCUAUGUACUGACGCUCAAGCACGAAAGCGUGGGUAGCAAACAGAUAGAUACCCUGGUAGUCCACGCGGUAACGAUGAUCACCAGGUGUUGGAGAUUGACCCUUCAGUGCCGUAGCAACGCGUUAGUGAUCCGGCUGGG